AGCGAGUCUGCCUUGAAGAUCGGAGUGCUUGCACUCUGUGAAACAAGAUACAGGCUAGCGGCGGACGGGUGAGUAACACGUGGGUAACCUGCCCAAGAGAUCGGGAUAACACCUGGAAACAGAUGCUAAUACCGGAUAACAACAGAUGAUGCCUAUCAACUGUUUAAAAGAUGGUUCUGCUAUCACUCUUGGAUGGACCUGCGGUGCAUUAGCUAGUUGGUAGGGUAACGGCCUACCAAGGCGAUGAUGCAUAGCCGAGUUGAGAGACUGAUCGGCCACAUUGGGACUGAGACACGGCCCAAACUCCUACGGGAGGCAGCAGUAGGGAAUCUUCCACAAUGGACGCAAGUCUGAUGGAGCAACGCCGCGUGAGUGAAGAAGGGUUUCGGCUCGUAAAGCUCUGUUGUUGGUGAAGAAGGACAGGGGUAGUAACUGACCUUUGUUUGACGGUAAUCAAUUAGAAAGUCACGGCUAACUACGUGCCAGCAGCCGCGGUAAUACGUAGGUGGCAAGCGUUGUCCGGAUUUAUUGGGCGUAAAGCGAGUGCAGGCGGCUCGAUAAGUCUGAUGUGAAAGCCUUCGGCUCAACCGGAGAAUUGCAUCAGAAACUGUCGAGCUUGAGUACAGAAGAGGAGAGUGGAACUCCAUGUGUAGCGGUGAAAUGCGUAGAUAUAUGGAAGAAC
rnacentral:rRNA from 1 species